AUUAGGAAGAUUUAUAAUCUAUUCAUUGUAGGACUAACAAAGCAAUCAUAAGAUUACAAUGCGCAAGAGAGACAUAACCAGCCUUUCAUAUAAAUAGCCAUGUAAAACUUUCGAAAAAGGGUAUAUGCAUAGUGGCAAUGCCAAAACCUGUAGCUGGAAAUGAGAAAACAGAAUUAUCACAAGCUAUAGGUGUACGGUUCAUUAAGGGACAUAUUUUUGUCUAUACAAAGGACUCCAGAGAAAAAUUCAUCUAAAAAAAAUAUAACCCCCCAAAAAAAGAAUUCUUCUGGUAACUAUUACGUGUCUUUGUAUUUGUAUUGUGAGACUAUUCAAAAGAUUGUAUGAUAGACUAAUGAAUCCUUAAUCAGAAGUAUUUAACACUGAAAAUAUGCAUGAAAUUAAAGCACUUCAUUUUCAAAUUAUCAACCUUCAGCCCUUGAAAGUCGGUGACAUACCUGCCAUGCUUUUUCCGGUUAGUUGGAUCAGAAGUCUAAUAGCCUUGCAAGGAUAAGAUCUAGUGAGAAAGCCCUAAGGGAUGGCUCUUAGAUUUAGAUGUAAGAUGUCACAUAUUCGAACCUUGUUCGACCAAAUACACAUGCCAACCAACCCAUGGUGAAUUGAAGGUACAGUCCACAGGAAAAAUAAGACGAUCUUAGAAUACAAUGCAAAUGCAUUACAGCUACAUGUGUAUCUAACUGACCAAACUAUUGAGAAAAUAAGAUGUCACCAGUGUUUUCUAAGUGAACAAAAAAUAAUUCUCAAGUGCUCUGCUAAUAUUAAUUUUUCUUCUCUCUUUUUUACCCAUAGAGCAGAUUCCAGUAGCAUUAAAUGAAUACCAAAAAUAGAGAGUUGGACCUCAUGUUCAAGUUUUCAUUCAAAUGUAAAACCUUACUUGCGGGACUGAUUUCAACUUCCAUUUAUUGAAAGAUAGUAUAUUAUUAUAUCUUAAAUGGAGGCAUGAUCAUCAGAAAUGGCAAUACUUAUGAAGCAUAUAUACGAUAUGUCAAUCUGAAUAAGGUCAUGAAUGCAUAGUGGAAUAGAACAAAGUAAAUAUUGAUCUUUACUAAUGAAGAAGGACAUCAUAAUAUGUGAACGGUAAAGCCUCCACACACCAAACAAUGAGUUUAGAGUUAAUGAGUAUGGAUAUCUUCCUACCAAAGUUCAUAUGAAAUAUACAAUCAUUUAGUGGGUUACAUUUCAAGACUCACAUAAACCUUCAUACAACAAUCAAUAGUGGAGCAUAAGGUAACGAAAGCAAGCGGAUAUAAUUGCUAACAGAUAAUCAAAGAACAAAAUCCCAAAUAUUUUGCUUGAUUACAUUGUUUAAAUGUAUUCAACAGUCUGAAAAAUCUCAUAUAACUUUGGGAUGGAAAGUGUAAUAAAUCUCAAUUCAUAACAGAAAAGAACCUCACGGAUUUCCGGCUCAAUUUACUUUAAGAGUACUUUCUAUUUUAUUUUUACCCUUUUUCUUUUUUCCCUUUUUUCAAUCAUUUGGGUUCCUACAACUUUUAAAUAAAAAUUUAGAAUUCAGUUGAUUUACAUUUUCAUCAUCUUUUUGCUAAAGAGGGACAUCAUGAAGAGUUUAUCAACACAUGUAAAGUGAUGUUGAUAUUUGGAUAUGUUUUUUGUUUUUCACUUAAGCUUUUGUAUUUAGGUAGUUUUGUAAAGUGUCUGCAGUUUGUUUUCCUUGAGUAUCAUGUAAAAAGUAAUCAUUUUUAGAUGGCAUGGCCUGCUAAUGUUCUCUUGAUGUAUAUGCUUUAGCCACAGACACUUUAAUUUUGCUUGGAGACGGAGCUAUUUCAGAUAGAUUUGUGAAAGAAGUACCAAUUAAAUCAAAGGGAUUUGUAUGAAAUUAUUUUCAAUGGUUGUCUCUUACCCAAGCACAGCAUUCAUGAAGAAUAUAAACAUAAUUUUCCAAAUUAAAUUUUCAAAAUGUCAUUCAGAGGCAUAUAAGAUAAUUAGAAGCAUAUUUAUUUUUUUAUAAAAUCUGAAUUUACACCACUAUUGAAAAGGGGAAAAGAUCGCAGAUAGUUCCUCCAUAUGCGGUCAAUUCAUUUAGACAUGUUAUCAAAUACCUCUCGGUACGUACAUCAGCGUAUAAAUCGAAUAAAGCAAUCCAAAUGAAUGUGAAAAUCCAAUAAGACUAUUCGAAAGAACAUAGAAACUGUCAGAUGCCACCAAAACCACAUUAGCAAUAACAGAGAACAUCAAUGGAAGCACGAAUACAUAAAAAAGCACACACCAGAGACAUCGCUGCAUGGAUGUGCAACAUUUGCCAAUAUACCAAGCAAGAAAAGAAAAAAUUCAAAUGAAAUCAUAAAAAAGAGCAUAGCAGUAGAAGCAACAAUGGCUAAGCUACCAAACAAAAAGAAAAAUCAAAACAAACAAAGUCAUUCACCCAUAACUGAGAAGACAAAGGCAAUCAAACCCAACCUUAUGUGGUACCUUGGAGAUGAGAAGCCUCAAUCACUUGGAGCAUACCAGUGGUCUCGAGCUCCAAAACCAACUCCAUUCAACUCGUGCUUGAAUAUAUUUUCGAUUGGAGCAACACGGUUACCUCCACGUUUGUAGUCCUUAUACAGAACCAUUUGUUUUUAUUGUUUGUCUCUAAAGUGACACAAAGUUGUGGGAGGAUCCAGCAAUUUUGGGAACAGACUUUAGCAGCAGAGGAGCGUAAGUGAGA
rnacentral:lncRNA from 1 species